AGUGGACGCUGGCGGUAGGCCUAACACAUGCAAGUCGAACGGCAGCACAGUAAGAGCUUGCUCUUACGGGUGGCGAGUGGCGGACGGGUGAGGAAUACAUCGGAAUCUACUUUUUCGUGGGGGAUAACGUAGGGAAACUUACGCUAAUACCGCAUACGACCUACGGGUGAAAGCAGGGGAUCUUCGGACCUUGCGCGAUUGAAUGAGCCGAUGUCGGAUUAGCUAGUUGGCGGGGUAAAGGCCCACCAAGGCGACGAUCCGUAGCUGGUCUGAGAGGAUGACGAGCCACACUGGAACGGAGACACGGCCCAGCCUCCUACGGGAGGCAGCGGUGGGGAAAUUUGACAAUGGGCGCAAGCCUGAUCCAGCCAUACCGCGUGGGUGAAGAAGGCCUUCGGGUUGUAAAGCCCUUUUGUUGGGAAAGAAAAGCAGCAGGUUAAUACCCCGCUGUUCUGACGGUACCCAAAGAAUAAGCACCGGCUAACUUCGUG
rnacentral:rRNA from 1 species